AAGCAUAUCAAUAAGCGGAGGAAAAGAAACCAACAGGGAUUGCCUUAGUAACGGCGAGUGAAGCGGCAACAGCUCAAAUUUGAAAUCUGGCCCUCGGGUCCGAAUUGUAAUUUGUAGAGGAUGAUUUUGGUGCGGUAUCUUCCGAGUUCCUUGGAACAGGACGCCUUAGAGGGUGAGAGCCCCGUACGGUUGAAUGCCUAGCCUCUGUAAAUCUCCUUCGACGAGUCGAGUAGUUUGGGAAUGCUGCUCUAAAUGGGAGGUAAAUUUCUUCUAAAGCUAAAUAUUGGCCAGAGACCGAUAGCGCACAAGUAGAGUGAUCGAAAGAUGAAAAGCACUUUGAAAAGAGGGUUAAAUAGCACGUGAAAUUGUUGAAAGGGAAGGAUUUGUGACCAGACUUUUUCUGGGCGGAUCAUCCGGGGUUCUCUCCGGUGCACUUUGCCCAGUAAAGGCCAGCAUCGAUUUUCGGCGGCGGAUAAAAGCAGUGGGAAUGUGGCUCCCUACGGGGAGUGUUAUAGCCCAUUGUAUAAUACGCUGCUGGGGAUCGAGGUACGCGCUUCUGCAAGGAUGCUGGCGUAAUGGUUAUCAAUCACCCGUCUUGAAACACGGACCAAGGAGUCGAACAUUUAUGCGAGUGUUUGGGUGUUAAACCCUCACGCGUAAUGAAAGUGAACGGAGGUGAGAGCCCGUACGGGUGCAUCAUCGACCGAUCCUGAAGUUUUCGGAUGGAUUUGAGUAAGAGCAUAACUGUUCGGACCCGAAAGAUGGUGAACUAUGCGUGGAUAGGGUGAAGCCAGAGGAAACUCUGGUGGAGGCUCGCAGCGGUUCUGACGUGCAAAUCGAUCGUCAAAUCUGCGCAUGGGGGCGAAAGACUAAUCGAACCAUCUAGUAGCUGGUUACCG
rnacentral:rRNA from 1 species